GAUGAACGCUAGCGACAGGCUUAACACAUGCAAGUCGAGGGGCAGCGGGGGAUAAGCUUGCUUUUCCUGCCGGCGACCGGCGCACGGGUGAGUAACACGUAUGCAACCUGCCCCUGUCAGAGGGAUAAUCCGGAGAAAUCCGGUCUAAUAUCGCAUAAAGCGUUUGCGGGGCAUCCUGCGAGCGCCAAAGGAGUAAUCCGGACAGGGAUGGGCAUGCGGCGCAUUAGCUAGUUGGGGGGGGUAACGGCCCACCAAGGCGACGAUGCGUAGGGGUUCUGAGAGGAAGGUCCCCCACAUUGGUACUGAGACACGGACCAAACUCCUACGGGAGGCAGCAGUGAGGAAUAUUGGUCAAUGGGCGGAAGCCUGAACCAGCCAAGUCGCGUGAGGGAAGACGGCCCUAAGGGUUGUAAACCUCUUUUGCCGGGGAGCAAAAGCGCCGUGCGCGGUGCUAUGAGAGUACCCGGAG
rnacentral:rRNA from 1 species